GCCCGGGUGGCGGAAUUGGUAGACGCGCUAGAUUCAGGUUCUAGUGGGCAUUAGCCUGUAGGAGUUCAAGUCUCCUCCUGGGCA
rnacentral:tRNA from 1 species